rnacentral:misc_RNA from 1 species
AAGAUGGUGAUUGCCCUCUUUGUUGUCUGGUGUUCUUUAUGUUCCCUACAGGAGCUGCCGAUACAAAGGCCUGACCCAGAAGAAAUUCUGCGUCACCUGUACCAUCAAGAUCAAGAUCAAGACCGGCGCUGCCGCCACAACCACCCCCUCUUGUGGCAGGGGCCGGCAGGGACGCGCUGGGACGCAUCCUCUUCACCGACCCACACAAAUACAAGGACGCCAUAUACAAGAGGUGGACACAGCGGGAAAAGAAGAAAAAAGAACUUCAACAUUAGCGGAACAAAGAACGAGAAGAAGUAAGGAGCUUCCGUUGCAACAUCUACAUCUACAUCUACCACUAAUGGCCACCGGGAUACGUGUCUUAUUUAAUGAUUUCCGAGGCCCCUGGCGGUCAUGGAGGGCGGUGAGCAGUGCCUGGAGAUGGAGGACAGCGGGGAGAUGAAGGAAUUUGAGUAGCGGGCGGUCCGAGUGGCCCACAGCACCCACACCACCUCCGUACUCCACCACCCGCUUGUCAGGUCAAAGGUCACAACUAGCCAGCCGGGAGUGGGUCAGGAUGGCACGGCUGGCUGUGGUGGUGGUGGUGGUGGUAUUGGUGUUGGCGGCAGCAGCGGCGGGAAGGCCAGACUACACGCUGUCCCAAAAUUUAUUGAAAUGUUGCAGA